rnacentral:rRNA from 1 species
UCCGAAUGGGGAAACCCGGCCAAUUCGUUGGCCAUUGCAUGCUGAAUACAUAGGUAUGCAAGACGAACCCGGUGAACUGAAAUAUCUAAGUAGCCGGAGGAAAGGAAAUCAAAAUGAGACUCCGUUAGUAGUGACGAGCGAACGCGGAACAGGUCUGUGGUCUGUAAUUAGAAACUGGAAUGCCUUGGAAAAGGCAACCGUAGGGGGUGAUAGUCCCGUACAGGUAAGAAGGUUGCAGAUCCUUGAGUAGGGCGGGGCACGUGGAACCCUGUCUGAAUUUAGGGGGACCAUCCUCUAAACCUAAGUACUCCUUAGCGACCGAUAGUGAACAAGUACCGUGAGGGAAAGGUGAAAAGAACCCCGGUGAGGGGAGUGAAAUAUUUUGCAUAUAAGGGGCGGGGAC